rnacentral:tRNA from 2 species
GGGCCGUUAGCUCAGUUGGUAGAGCAGCUGACUCUUAAUCAGCGGGUCGCUGGUUCGAAUCCAGCACGGCUCA